CAACCCUAUAAAAAACCUGGUACAGGAAAUUAUCACUGAACUACAAAGAACCAGGGAUCUAUAUUCUAUUCAUAUAACGAGAACAAAGAAUGCAUCAAGACCUAAGGAUUACAGACCUAGUAUGAAGUUUAUUUUGAGAUGGACGUUUUGCCACAUAUAUUGUUUCAACUCAUUUUUGUAACACACUCCAAACAACAAUAGAAACAAGAAAAAGAAA